rnacentral:rRNA from 1 species
UACGGGGGGAGCAAGCGUUGUUCGGAUUUACUGGGCGUAAAGGGCGCGUAGGCGGUCAGCACAAGUCAGUUGUGAAAUCUCUGAGCUUAACUCGGAAAGGUCAACUGAUACUGUGCGACUAGAGUGCGGAAGGGGCAACUGGAAUUCUUGGUGUAGCGGUGAAAUGCGUAGAUAUCAAGAGGAACACCUGUGGCGAAAGCGGCGCACUGGACCACAACUGACGCUGAGGCGCGAAAGCUAGGGGAGCAAACAGG